UACGGAAGGCGGCAGUGGGGAAUAUUGCACAAUGGGCGCAAGCCUGAUGCAGCCAUGCCGCGUGUAUGAAGAAGGCCUUCGGGUUGUAAAGUACUUUCAGUCGUGAGGAAGGUGUUAAGGUUAAUAACCUUAGCAAUUGACGUUAGCGACAGAAGAAGCACCGGCUAACUCCGUGCCAGCAGCCGCGGUAAUACGGAGGGUGCGAGCGUUAAUCGGAAUUACUGGGCGUAAAGGGCACGCAGGCGGUUAAUUAAGUUGGAUGUGAAAUCCCCGGGCUUAACCUGGGAAUGGCAUUCAAGCUGGUUAGCUAGAGUCUUGUAGAGGGGGUGAAUUCCAUGUGUAGCGGUGAAAUGCGUAGAGAUGUGGAGGAAUACCGGUGGCGAAGGCGGCCCCUGGACAAAGACUGACGCUCAUGUGCGAAAGCGUGGGGAGCAAACAGGGAUUAGAUACC
rnacentral:rRNA from 1 species